rnacentral:rRNA from 1 species
UGGGGGAUUUUGCACAAUGGGCGCAAGCCUGAUGCAGCGACGCCGCGUGAGGGAUGAAGGCCUUCGGGUUGAACCUCUUUCGCUGGGUUGAAAGGCCAUGCUUUGGGUGUGGUUGAUUUGAACUGGUAAAGAAGUACCGGCUAACUACGUGCCAGCAGCCGCGGUAAUACGUAGGGUACUAGCGUUGUCCGGAUUUAUUGGGCGUAAAGGGCUUGUAGGUGGUUUGUCGCGUCUGUCGUGAAAUCCUGUGGCUUAACCAUGGGCUUGCGGUGGGUACGGGCAGGCUUGAGUGCGGUAGGGGAGACUGGAAUUCCUGGUGUAGCGGUGGAAUGCGCAGAUAUCAGGAGGAACACCGGUGGCGAAGGCGGGUCUCUGGGCCGUUACUGACACUGAGGAGCGAAAGCGUGGGGAGCGAACAGG